rnacentral:rRNA from 1 species
UGGGGAAUUUUGGACAAUGGGCGAAAGCCUGAUCCAGCAAUGCCGCGUGUGUGAAGAAGGCCUUCGGGUUGUAAAGCACUUUUGUCCGGAAAGAAAUCCUUGGCUCUAAUACAGUCGGGGGAUGACGGUACCGGAAGAAUAAGCACCGGCUAACUACGUGCCAGCAGCCGCGGUAAUACGUAGGGUGCAAGCGUUAAUCGGAAUUACUGGGCGUAAAGCGUGCGCAGGCGGUUUGCUAAGACCGAUGUGAAAUCCCCGGGCUCAACCUGGGAACUGCAUUGGUGACUGGCAGGCUAGAGUAUGGCAGAGGGGGGUUAGAAUUCCACGUGUAGCAGUGAAAUGCGUAGAGAUGUGGAGGAAUACCGAUGGCGAAGGCAGCCCCCUGGGCAAUACUGACGCUCAUGCACGAAAGCGUGGGGAGCAAACAGGAUUAGAUACCCUGGUAGUCCACGCCCUAAACGAUGUCAACUAGUUGUUGGGGAUUCAUUUCCUAGUAACGUAGCUAACGCGUGAAGUUGACCGCCUGGGGAGUACGGUCGCAAGAUUAAAACUCAAAUGAAUUGACA